CGCCCGCCGCGGCCGGGGCGCCGCCCGCCGCCAUCUUGAGCGUGGCUCAACGACCCUCCACCCACCCUCCCGCCGCCACGACCGCGGCUACGCCACGGUUUGCUUGGUUCGCCACCACCGCCCUCUUGGGACGGGCGAGUGAGAGGAGCGGGGGGUGUGGAAAGCGAAGGGCGGAGGAGGAGUCCUUAAGGAAGGGAAGGGCGGGGAUGCCACACACAAGAUGGCGGCGGCGCGCAGCGGCCCCUCCCUCAGGCACGGGGCGGGAGGGGCUGGCGGUUUAAGGCGCAGUGCGGGCGGUGAUUGACUGCCGGCUGCCGGAUCCGCCGCUCCUAUUGGUGGAGCGGCUGUCAAUCAAGUGCUGCCCGUCUCCUGGGUCCCUGUGCCCGCGGGGCCUCGGGUCGGGGCUGGGCCCGAUCCUGCCCUGAGGGGAUCCAGAGCCCGAGGAAGCCAGUGAAAGACACUUCACAUGCUUGUGCCUCUUUUUGCCCUGGGAAUGUCACAGCUCCUGAGGGCAGAAAGGUUUUCCCACUGGCAUCUUCUGUGGAGAGUAAAUCUCCAUCAUAAACCACUUUCUAAGCAGCUGAGCAGGACAGGGGAUGAGAACAUAUUUUAGAGCUUUUCUCCUUGUUGUUGAAAGUGCAAAAUAAGCCUGAUAAAAGCAUCCAGAGCCUAAUGGACAAAUGGAUACCCCUGGGCUGACUCUUCUGCAGCUGAUGAAGGAUGGCCAAGGACUGUUGGUUCUAUGAUUUAAAGCUUUGCCUGUGUAUUUAAAGCCAUUUUGACAUGUCUGGACAUAACCCUUGACAGAGAUCUUUGGAAAAUAUCCCCUCCUUGCCACUUGCUGUUAAAGCAGAGAAGUCUCUGGAUACUCCAAUCUCCUUCUGAGGAUUGGCCAUGGCAAGAUUGAGGACAAAAAGCAGUUUUUGGAGGAGACACUGCUGCUCCCAGGUGUGCAGCACAGCAUGGAUGCUCUGCCAGCUGGGAGCGCUUGGACCCCAUUUACAGCUGGCAAACUUUGAAGAAAUAAAAUAAAACACCUUUUGUAACAUUACAAUGGAGCAAGAGGAAUUCUCUUGAAAGGCAGUGAGAAGAGAAACCCUAGGAACAGAAAGAUAGGAUUGGAUAAGAUUUCAUUCAAUUCUUGUCAUCUGGGAAUAAGAUUUGUGAGGGAAUAUUGUUCUUAUCCUUAUAAAUGGCCAAUAUCUUCUUGAACCCAGAGAAGCAGAGGCCAGGCAAGGUUUGUGGUUCACAUUAGCAGAUUCUAAUGACAUGAGUUUACAAUAAUAGUCUAAUAGUUCAGUGUAACAGUGACUCAUGGCUUAUUACUGUGGUGAUAGGAAUGUAAAGAGAUCUCCUUUGAAAAAAAAUCUAUUUGGAUAGUUCACAUCCUUUCCUCCCUACUCAUGAAUUCCUGUGCCAUUGACUGCUAGCUGCUAAAAAUAGGAUUCUUUUUGUGUAUCUAAAGGAAAACCUAGAAUCAGAGAGACAGUUGGAGGGGACCAAGGCCCUUCCAUACAGAGUCUUCAGGAAAUAUUUGUAAUGAAAGCCCUCUGAGAGUGCAGGAAUGUUUUUAAAAGAUGGGAACAAUCUAGGAAGAUAUUUUGGAAGGAAGAAGGAGAGGAAUUAAUGAAUCACAGCAGCUCCCAGCUUUGGUAUUUUGCACCAUGGGGAUGGGAAGAUUCAUCUCUUUAUUAGGCACAGGACCAAGCUACAGCUUUGUCUUGGAGAAGCUGUUCCACUUCAGCAGCAGCAGAGGAAGCUCUAGGGAACAGCCCAGGAUCAGCCCUCUGGGCUGAUGAGGAACCAGGAGAGGAGACUUGCUAGGAGUCACUUGAAAUUGUUCAAGUCCCUUGAGGACAGCAGCAGGGAAGGGGAACUUACAUGAGUAAGGUAUCUGCAAAUGGAUUAUCAGCACUGCUCCUUCGAAAAAAGGAGAAAAAAACCCACAUGGCACCUCACAAACUGAAGUGUGAAAUCAUGCAGCAGGGAAAGCUGUCACAGAGAAUCAGAAAUUGAUUUAAUAGACAAAAGUUGACUGCUGCAUAAUUUGUGCAGAUUGCUGCUGGCUGAGAGAGAGAGAGAGAGAAUGAGAUCCACAGCUCCAAAGGACUUAGAGCAGGCACCCUCUGGCAAAAGGUGCGGAAAGCAAAAUUCCAUCGCUGGCAAUUGUGCGUGUACUGAAUGCUUCCUCUUCUUCAGCAGGGAACAAUUAAAAUCGAUGGCAGGAUGCAAGGUAACAAAGGGAAAUGACUGAUCAAUAUGCAUGUCUUGGAGCUGAAGACAAGCCUGUCUGCCGGGAGCAGAAUGCUGAUGAGGCGAGAUUCCCAGAGAAAACCUGAAAAGCUUCUCCUGCUGCUCGGUGACACAGCUGAGCAGAUGCCAGGUGCAGUGCCAGGAGAGGUGAAGGCACCAAGGAGGCUAAAGAAUAACUGUUAGGAAAACCAGGAAAUAUUAAUUUUAAGACUAAAUAGCUUUAAAGUAAAAAAUGUGAUGCUUUUCUUGUUUGCCUUUCUGAAUAUAUCAGAAGCCCUUUACUGAUAUUGAUAAAUUAUGGUUUUACAUACCUGUGCAAGGUUUUAGAGAUGCUGAGACGUUGACAUUUUAAGGCCAACGUCCAUUUUAUUCCUCAUCUCAAAGCACUUUAAAUCUCAUUUCCCUGUAUAUUUCACUGGGGGGGGAGUCUCUGCCAAGUGCUGCCAAAAAUCAAACACUAAAUCUUUCAUGAUUCAGUAGUUUUGAAGCAGUCACUCAGAUUUCCAAACACUUUUGAAAAUACUGCUGUAAAGGGUCUGCCAUGGAUCUGGUGGGACAGGGAAUGGCACGUGGACCUCCAGGUUUGCUUUCCCAGUUUUUCCCCUCUUGAGUGGUAUUUAUUUUCUGAGGGAACAGCCCAUGGACUGGCACAUGAGCAGUUAAGCACCUCAGGACUCGCAGCUCAUACAUCUCUUUCUGCUGACACAGACAGAAGGUGAACACAGCUGAAGAUUAGAGCCAAAAAAAUGCUGCAAAAACUUUGUGAAAGUUCACUUCAUCCUAACCCCACAUUUGCCUGAACAUAUUUCCCAUGAGUUCCUAACUGUGGCAUCCUAAAGAGUGGAUGAAUACCCAUUUUGUCACCUCAUGACUUUGAUUUCGUUGACAAACCAGGGAAGAUUGGUAGCGUUGAGACAGCAUGUUCUCCCUGGGCUUGGAGCAAGGGUUCUCCUCCUCCUGGUCCUGUACCAUGUCACCUGCUGCCUCUUCCUCAGAGCCCUCCUGUUCCCUCAGCACAGGUGAAGGAGCAGCCAUUCCCUUAGGAGCCACUGCACCUUUCCCUGAGGCUGGUUCCCAGCAGGCACACUGCUUUGCUCUUUCCCUGUGGGAAUGCACAGAAGGGCUGAGAGCUCUACAAAAUCUGUCCGGUCCAGGGAGAGUUUGGAUGCUUGGCUGUUGAGGAAAGCCUGGCACGUUCCUCCCAGUGCCUCUGUGCUACCAGCCCUCUGCCACCUGCCUCCUCACCGGGGGUUCUCUGUGUUUGCUGGGAAGGAGAGGCUUGAAAGCACAGGAUGGAACAGCCGUGCUUUCCUUGGGCUCAGCCCCAGACACUUGGCAUUGUCCCAUUCUGGAGGGUGGUGGGAAGGCCAGAAAUAGGAGGAGGAAAAAUUUCCAAGCAACCUUUUGUAGAGAGACUUAGUUAAUUGUUUCAUGGCCAGUGCAGAAAUGUUUGGUCCCUCCUUCCAGUCCAGCCCCCCCGAAACCCAACCUAAGCAAGACUAGGAACUGGGGAAAUGGGAAUCAAAACUCCUCCACUGGCUGCCAGGCAGAAGAAAAUCUGGCUGCAGCUGCUGAAACCUCCACACUUUGAACUGCAGGGAUACAUCCCAUCCUUUUGUGGAAACCAUCUUAUGCAGCUGAGAUAGAAGAAACCACUGCCCACUGGGCAUGGGCAGCUCCAACCUCUGCCAUGGCAGGAGUGGCUUUAUCAGCAGGAAUGGGAGGAGGGAAAGGCACUGCUAAGCUGGGCUCUGCUAUGGAACAGAAAAUGCAUUGUUUGUAAAUCAGACUUUGGAACAGCUUAAGACUUAAACACACCUUCAGUUAAUUAACCUUUUCGCAGAGCAGCACAGCCCCAGAGCUAAUAAAGCAAUAUUCAGUCCCAUGACUGCAGAUUUUGCUAGAAAACAAACAAAUUUUUCAGGGCUAGGUUUGAUAGUGCUGAUCAAGAAGUUGGGUUGGGUUCAAAUUCAUCUCAAAAUUCUAGUGGGGAUUCAAAAAUGGUUGUAACACCUAGAGAAAAUUAACUUUAGCAAAAUAUUUGUACACAGCACGUGUUGUAAAGCCCCAAAUGGUCUGAGAGAUGCUCUUUAAUAAGCUCUAUGAGUGUGUUUCCCAGCAGUGUGAACCUUGUGGGGUUUGUUUUUUAUUGCCUUAUUAAAAUAUGUUUCCAGGAUGCUCAAACAACAUUUUUGAGCCAUUUUUUGUGCACAAUUACACUUUCUUCCCUAUGCUAAUUUUAUUCCUGUAAAUGUGCCCCCUGGACCAAGCAGUGUCUCCAUCAUGGUAACACAACUGUUUUCAUGUCAGUGUUAAUGAAGGAUGGAAUUUGAUCCUUUGAGGUCAGUACUUGACCUCUCACCCUCCAUCUCUGGGGCUGAGAAGACUCUGCAGUGGUUACUGAGUUUCACCAGGUGAACAUUGUCCUCCAGUAAACGAGGAAAUGGCACCAACAUUCCUGCACCAAAGAGAAACUGAGUACUGGGAAUAUUUCUUUGGCACGAGAGGAAUGAGAGCUGGAAAAGAGCUGCUGCAGCAGGACCCCCUGACCCCACCUGACUCAGAGCUGCAUUCAUGCUCAAAUACAGGCAAGAGUCAUUAACUUCUCCCAAUGGAACAGGGCAGUGGUGUAAAGCCACACUGGAAGUGAUGGGAUGCCAGCAUUUCCAGGAGUGGGAUUCUCCCGGCAGGCUGCUCUUGCCAGCAGUUUCUCUCUAGAAUAUAUCCAGGGAUGGUUUCCAUAUCGCUGUCCAUAUGUUCACUCAUAGCAGCCAUAGCAGAGACACUUCAUAUGCUUUAUAGGGAACAUGGUCCUGCAAGUGGAUUAGUGCGUGGCCCCUCCUGUUGUGGAGAGCAGCUCGUCCCUGACCUCCAGGAAUUCCUUCCAACCAACACUUCCGUGAUUCAGUGAUCCUUGGUCUUUUCCAGUAGCAGGGCCUUGGCCUGACAGCUGCUGGGUUUGUAAGUUAUUUCCCUGGCUUGGACUGACUCCGAGCCAGAGGAACUAAAGCUGGCAGGAUCCCCCGGAUCCCUGCACUGCAAUAUGUCCCUGCCAGGGCCUCCAGAAAGGGUGCAGAGCAGGAGUUAAUGGCCCAAAAUCCCAGGGGAAUCCUGGCUCCAUCCCCUCCAGCCUCCUGGGUACCAGAACUGAAGCAAAUCCAGGACAGUGACAGACACAGAUCACAAAGCCAAAAACGCAGCCUGGAGAGGAACCACACGUACAAUGAAGUACAAUUCCUUGAUAAUUUUCCUCCUGGAAUGACACAACUCUACCUCCCCCUGUCCCAGCACAGCCAAAACCUCCCUGUUAUGGAGUUAUUUAGCCAAAGUUGAAGUUAUUUAACCAAAAUAUGAAAAAAAUACAUAACUAUCCCGUAUCAUUCCUCACUUACACUUCAUUUUGAGACCCAAUUUUAUUCUCUGAUGCCCAAGAAGGAGAUUCAGCCUGCUGGAUUUUCAUUCUUUAUUUUAAAAUGUUUUCACAAGUAGCAAAACUUUGUUCCUUUGAGGAGAAAACCCACAGAAUCACUAUUUUCAGAAUGGCUAUAAACAUGGAUGCUUUGCCACAGAUUUGUAUCAGAAUAGAAAGUAAUAUAAAUAUAUAAGUCUGUAUAUAAAAAUAAAUGAUUUGGUACUAACAGAUCCAACUAGGACAAUUUCAAUGGGGGACAAAGUAGGAAAAAAAGUAACAUCACAAUUUUAUAAAUCCCCUUCUCAAAGGCGUUCAAAAAUUUUGACCUUUCACUGAGCAUGAAAGAGGGGAGGAGAACCCCAAUUGCCACAAUGUCUACAUUUUGUAUCAUUCAUGUCACACUUGAAGUUAUCAUGACAAGGCUGAUAUGAAAGUGUCAGAAGUGCAUAAACUCUGGGGUUUACAUAGAAGAGGACACAUAUUUAAAGCAUAUUUUAUGUUUUAGGGCUGUUACCUCACUUUACUCCAAAAUGAUUAUUUUAGCCAGUAAGACAAAUUUUAACUGCUUGAAAUAAAGCAACAGUCCCACAGCAAUAAGACUUGUCUGGUGUCUGAGCCAGGCAGAAAAAAAGGGCCAGGGCACCACGAGUAGGGUGGUAACAAGAUCCCAACAUCUUUCACCAUUAACUGGAAUAUGGCAUUUACCUACUGGAAUUCAGAAGGUUUAGAAAUUCAGCUCCUAUUUUUGCUUUUAUCUUCCAGAACCAACAUUUUCCCUGUCAGGUGAUCACCAAAUCAUCUAUUACCAACUUCAUUAUUCUUCCUGCUGUUAUUUUUCACUCAUUUGCAGCACGCCAGGUCCCAAACCACCCACCAGGACUCAGGCAGGAGACACCACACCGGGUUCAAGCUGCCAAAAUUCUCGCUGCUUUUGGUACAGCCUCCCCAAAAGAGGGUGCAGGGGGCAGAGGAAGAGAACCCACUCCUGUUUUCUGCAUCCCGGACAAGGGGUCAGUGCCCAGCUGGCCCAUCCCGGCCGUCUCUCCCCCGUCCCACCCCGCAGAUCCCUCUCAGGGAGCCAGCACGGGCCAUGGCCUCCCUCUAGCGUCCACAGCUCCUCUGCCUCAGCUCCUCCCCAAACCAGCCACCAGAGCCCUUCCAGCUCUCCAGGCAAGCGGGAUCUGGUUUGGUCCUGCGAGUAAUGACCCAUAAUUGAUGUUUACAGGCACUCCAGAGUAUGAGAAUUCACCGAGCCCCCGGAGCGCCCGGGGAUCAAGCAGCCUCCUGAAACUCUCCUACAAUUAACAUUUAACGAUUAUGCAGAAAGCCCGAGGCAAGCAGCUGUCUCCACUUCUGCAGGAGAGGCCCGAGGGCAACAGGACAUGAAGACAAACUAUUUAGAACCCCCCUCAUCAGCUUAACUUUCCUCCUUCAGUGCCCGCAGACUUCUCACUUGUUCCAGCAAGACAGAAAGGUGCAAAUGUCACCUUGGCACGAUGGCAGCAGUUA